rnacentral:rRNA from 1 species
GAUGAAUGCUGGCGGCGUGCCUAACACAUGCAAGUCGAGCGGUGACAGGUCUAGUUUACUAGAUGCUGACGAGCGGCGGACGGCUGAGUAACGCGUAGGAACGUGCCCCAAAGUGAGGAAUAACUGCCCGAAAGGGUGGCUAAUGCCGCAUAUGAUCUUCGGAUUAAAGUCUUCUGACGCUUUGGGAGCGGCCCGCGUUAGAUUAGGUAGUUGGUAGGGUAAUGGCCUACCAAGCCGACGAUCUAUAGCUGGUCUGAGAGGAUGAUCAGCCAGACUGGGACUGAGACACGGCCCAGACUCCUACGGGAGGCAGCAGUGAGGAAUCUUCCACAAUGGGCGAAAGCCUGAUGGAGCAACGCCGCGUGAAGGAUGAAGGCCCUCGGGUCGUAAACUUCUUUUAUAAGUGAAGAAUAUGACGGUAACUUAUGAAUAAGCACCGGCUAACUACGUGCCAGCAGCCGCGGUAA